UGGGGAAUCUUGCGCAAUGGGCGAAAGCCUGACGCAGCCAUGCCGCGUGAGUGAUGAAGGCCUUAGGGUUGUAAAACUCUUUCACCGGGGACGAUAAUGACGGUACCCGGAGAGGAAGCCCCGGCUAACUUCGUGCCAGCAGCCGCGGUAAGUACGAAGGGGGCUAGCGUUGCUCGGAAUUACUGGGCGUAAAGGGCGCGUAGGGCGGAAUCAGCAAGUUGGGGGUGAAAGCCCGGGGGCUCAACCAUCGGAAUUGCCUUCAAAACUGCUGAUCUAGAGUACGGGAGAGGUGUGUGGAACUCCGAGUNUAGAGGUGAAAAUUCGUAGAUAUUCGGAAGAACACCAGUGGCGAAGGCGACACACUGGCCCGUUAACUGGAC
rnacentral:rRNA from 1 species